rnacentral:rRNA from 1 species
GACGAACGCUGGCGGCGUGCCUAAUACAUGCAAGUCGAACGCAGUGGGGACGGGUGAGUAACACGUUGGUAACCUCCCAUCAGAGGGGAUUACACUUGUCAACAGGUGCUAAACCGAUACUGAUGGAUGGACCCGCGGUGCAUUAGCUAGUGGGUGGGGUAACGGCUCACCAAGGCCACGAUGCAUAGGCGGUCUGAGAGGGUGAACGGCCACACUGGGACUGAGACACGGCCCAGACUCCUACGGGAGGCAGCAGUAGGGAAUCUUCGGCAAUGGACGAAAGUCUGACCGAGCAACGCCGCGUGAGUGAAGAAGGUUUUCGGAUCGUAAAACUCUGUUGUUAGAGAAGCGGUAACUAAACAGAAAGCCACGGCUAAAUACGGGCCAGCAGCCGCGGUAAUUC